AUGGAGAAGAGGAACAUGAUGCCGAUGUUGCCCGUGGAGAAGAGAACCUGCAUGAAUCAGAUGAAUCGGACCAUGAACUUGAAGGCCAAGGCGGUGUUUUCCAGAGCAUGGAAGAGGAAGUGCAAGCAAUGGAUGAAGCUCUACAUAACCUUCGAGUUGACGAGGAAGACUAUGGUGUGUAUGCAGGCGAUAUAG
rnacentral:rRNA from 1 species